GAUGAACGCUGGCGGCGUGCCUAAUACAUGCAAGUAGAGCGAACAGACGAGGAGCUUGCUCCUUCGACGUUAGCGGCGGACGGGUGAGUAACACGUAGGUAACCUACCUAUAAGACUGGGAUAACUUCGGGAAACCGGAGCUAAUACCGGAUAAUAUUUCGAACCGCAUGGUUCGAUAGUGAAAGAUGGCUUUGCUAUCACUUAUAGAUGGACCUGCGCCGUAUUAGCUAGUUGGUAAGGUAACGGCUUACCAAGGCAACGAUACGUAGCCGACCUGAGAGGGUGAUCGGCCACACUGGAACUGAGACACGGUCCAGACUCCUACGGGAGGCAGCAGUAGGGAAUCUUCCGCAAUGGGCGAAAGCCUGACGGAGCAACGCCGCGUGAGUGAUGAAGGUCUUCGGAUCGUAAAACUCUGUUAUUAGGGAAGAACAAACGUGUAAGUAACUGUGCACGUCUUGACGGUACCUAAUCAGAAAGCCACGGCUAACUACGUG
rnacentral:rRNA from 1 species